rnacentral:lncRNA from 1 species
AAAUAACUUUCUCAUGAUGUGAUUCAAGGUUAUUCAACACUGGAUCUGUGGACAGCAUGUGCAACUGUCCACCACUUUGGCCGCUCUGGAGCCUUUGAACCUCCCUUCAUGCCCAAGCUGGAUUCCACGCUCACUGGGGAGAUUUCUCCACCUUCUUCUGAUGCAGCCAACUUGGAGGACCUUUUCAUGCCCUCCAGCCUGAGGGAAGCUAAAUGCCCAGCCAGGACUGCAGAGCCCCAGGGAGUGCUGUCACCUCCUCAAGGAACAGAUGGGCUACUCAAAGGGACCAAGCGACCUGUCCAAGGUCACACAGCACAUCAUCAGCAGACCUGAGGUCUGAUCUCAUCCUGGUGUGUGAAUGAAGCUAAGGACUUCUGAUUCAAGUCCUCUGUGGGGUAUGGCCUUACAUCCCUCAUCAUGUUAGUGACAAGGUUAGUAUUGAGGUUGAACUACACUUUGAUGGAGAACUUGAUGUGGGGCAGAAAUUCGUUUUGAUCUGGGAAUCCCCUCACCCCUCAUCUCCUUCCUAAGUCCUAUGAUUUCAGAAGCUAGAGGAGGACAUGAGCCAGUGUUACCUCUACCAAUGACAGCUCUGACACGCUUGGCUAUGACUUUGGACUAAGCAGAGAAGCGACUAGGCCCCCAUCCCUCCUCCCCUCACAUGCAAGCCUCUGGCAUAUGUCUUUCCAUUAACAGGAGUAAAAAAAUAAAGAGAGACUCUUUAUGUCA